GUUUUAAGCAGAGGCCAAACAAACAAGCACAAACAGCAAAAUUUUGGGGGGAAAAUCUGAGAGAAACCUAACCAGAACUAUUGCAUUCCAUUGUCUAGGAUUCCGAUUCAGAAGCCAAAAGCUCAGUCAGGAACAGAACUUAAAUAAGGGAGGAAAUGUAAUAGAAAAUCUACCAAAUGAAGUUAUUCAGCACAUUUUAUCAUUCCUUCCAACAAAAGAUGCUGUCAGAACUGAAAGGGCACUGAUGCCUCGUGGUUCCUCAAAUCUUGAAAAAUUCUCCCUCCAUUGUCAGGCUAUGAAUAUGAUGUUAAGCUUCCUUCCGCUGUAAGCCUUCCAAGUUUCAAGGAGUUGAGUGUUUCACAUGCUACAUUUCUGGAUGACCACUCGGUGCUGCAGCUAUUUUC